rnacentral:rRNA from 1 species
UACGUAGGGGGCAAGCGUUAUCCGGAUUUACUGGGUGUAAAGGGAGCGCAGACGGCAGUGCAAGUCUGGAGUGAAAGCCCGGGGCCCAACCCCGGAGCUGCUCUGGAAACUGUGCGGCUAGAGUACUGGAGGGGCAGGCGGAAUUCCUAGUGUAGCGGUGAAAUGCGUAGAUAUUAGGAGGAACACCAGUGGCGAAGGCGGCCUGCUGGACAGUAACUGACGUUGAGGCUCGAAAGCGUGGGGAGCAAACAGG